UUUUUUUUGGAGUAUAGUUCUAUAAUCCAUUGUGUGCAAGAGAAGGAUAAUAAGAUUGGAGAACCUACUAAAGAUUGUUAUUUGAAUGACAUUUUGAAUACACUAAUCCCAAUUGUGUAUUUGGCAUUGAAUUUGAGGCAAUAUAGACUUAUUAGCUUUGCAAUGCUUCCCUAUAAAGCAAUGUCAAAGAUCAUUGCCAAUAGGAUGAAAUCCAUUGUGGAGUGGAAGGUGUGAUGAUUGAUGAGUGUUAACCAAUCAUAUUUUGUGCAUGAUGAUGUAAUAGCUUUUACAACAUAAUAGUUAAUCAAGAGGUUAUGAGAUUGAAGAGGGUAAUAAGUAUUCACAUGGAGAUCGAUUUUGAAAAGGUAUUUGAUCUAUAGGAUAAGAUGGAUGUUUGUAAAGGUUUUGGACACGCCUAUUAAGUUGAAAUUAUCAUCAUUGAACUGUGAUAUCUACAAGUUUUGUCAAAAUUGUUUAAAUGAAAUGAGUUUACUUGAAUGA
rnacentral:lncRNA from 1 species